AGUGGCAUGUGAUGUUCUCUAC
rnacentral:miRNA from 1 species